CUCCCCAGGUCAAAGAUGGUGUAUGCUCACCGUGUAUUCCUAGCAGGUGGCAGAAGGUCUGACAAAUGCCAGGUCCUUGAUAGUUGCUAAGUGGGCCACCAUCAAAAGGCAAAGGAGCAAAGAGCCCGAACUACCCAGAAGGAAUUAUCGGGAAGCAUUCCACAUGAAAUGCAAUGUUCAAGGCAUGAAAAAGAUUGCUCCAAAAUAUACUACCCCCUUUGAGGAUCUGGGGGGAGCCAGCCACCGACUCACUCAACCACCAUAGGCCAGAAGCAGAUAAAAAAUGGAAGCUGCAACGUCAUCUGGUGGAAUUUGUGAACAGACCGGACCAGACUUCUGGACACUCUCCUGAGCAAGCGAGCAGACCUUUGCACUCUGGGCUACAUGUCUUGCCCUUGGCUCCUUGUUGUCACUUCUGUUUACAUCGUGGCAAUUUUCAUUUGUGUUUUCUCUUCUGGUGGUUUUUAACGAACAGAAGUUGAGGGAUAUUUAUUUUCAGAGAAAAGUUGUUUUUAUAAUUAAACCCUUUCUUUCACCCUCUCAGUUAGGCGGUAGAAGUGCACGAUUAAAUGAAGUGAAGCUGUGGUUUGAUGCACAGAUGACGGGGGGAACUGAGGCUUGGAGAGGAGAGAAGCAUGUUCAAGGUCAUUCAUGGAGUAAACAGUGAAACAGACAGUUGAAUCUAAGUAUGUUUGAUUCCAGAGCCUCAGCACUUGAC